rnacentral:tRNA from 1 species
CCGGCUGGCUCAGUUGGUGGAGCACAUGACUCUUGAUCUUGGGGUCGUGAGUUCGAACCCCACGAACUGGG